rnacentral:rRNA from 1 species
AUUGAACGCUGGCGGCAUGCCUUACACAUGCAAGUCGAACGGCAGCACGGGAGCUUGCUCCUGGUGGCGAGUGGCGAACGGGUGAGUAAUACAUCGGAACGUACCCUGAAGUGGGGGAUAACGUAGCGAAAGUUACGCUAAUACCGCAUAUUCUGUGAGCAGGAAAGAGGGGGAUCGCAAGACCUCUUGCUUUAGGAGCGGCCGAUGUCGGAUUAGCUAGUUGGUGAGGUAAAGGCUCACCAAGGCGACGAUCCGUAGCGGGUCUGAGAGGAUGAUCCGCCACACUGGGACUGAGACACGGCCCAGACUCCUACGGGAGGCAGCAGUGGGGAAUUUUGGACAAUGGGCGCAAGCCUGAUCCAGCCAUGCCGCGUGAGUGAAGAAGGCCUUGGUUGUAAAGCUCUUCGUGGGAGAAAGUUGCUUCGGUUAAUACCUGGAGUAGAUGACGGUA